rnacentral:tRNA from 3 species
GCGGGUGUAGUUCAAUGGUAGAAUUCCAGCCUUCCAAGCUGGUCGUGAGGGUUCGAUUCCCUUCACCCGCUCCA